AACGAACGCUGGCGGCAUGCCUAACACAUGCAAGUCGAACGAUCUCUUCGGAGAUAGUGGCGCACGGGUGCAUAACGCGUGGGAAUCUGCCCUUGGGUUCGGAAUAACUUCGGGAAACUGAAGCUAAUACCGGAUGAUGACGUAAGUCCAAAGAUUUAUCGCCCAAGGAUGAGCCCGCGUAGGAUUAGCUAGUUGGUGAGGUAAAGGCUCACCAAGGCUACGACCCUUAGCUGGUCUGAGAGGAUGAUCAGCCACACUGGGACUGAGACACGGCCCAGACUCCUACGGGAGGCAGCAGUUGGGAAUAUUGGACAAUGGGCGAAAGCCUGAUCCAGCAAUGCCGCGUGAGUGAUGAAGGCCUUAGGGUUGUAAAGCUCUUUUACCCGGGAUGAUAAUGACAGUACCGGGAGAAUAAGCUCCGGCUAACUCCGUGCCAGCCGCCGCAGUAA
rnacentral:rRNA from 1 species